rnacentral:lncRNA from 1 species
CGGGCGUGCGCGCGCGGACCGGGCGGUCUGGGCCGGUCGGGCGCGGUUGGACUAGGCCGGUUCGGCCCAUUUUGGCCGGGCCGGUCCGGUUUACCUUUUUUUUUUUCUUUUAGGCCUUUUCUUUUUCUGUUUUUCCCAUUUCUUUGAUAUCUUUUGUGUUUGAACUCCAAAUUGGUCCAAACAAAUUUCAGAAAAUUUGUAAAAUCAUGUUCUACCAAGAUACAACUUUUAGAAGUAGUUUCUCUUCAAAAUAAAAUAUGUAAAAAUACAUUUGCCCUAUAAAUGCCUUUAGGGCUAUAUAUCUGUUUGAAUAAAAUACUUUUUCAACUCCAAAUAAUUAACCAAAAAUUAUGGGAUAGCUUAUAUAUGCAUUAAACCCUUUUUAUACAUCAACCUUAUUGGUUUGAAAAUCCAAAGGUUACAGGGGUGUAAUCAAAAUCUCUUAAAGCCUUUUGUGAUUCAAAAUUUGAAUUCAAACAUGCAAUUGUGGCAUGAUGUUUAUGAAUGCAAUGCUCAUGUAAAGGUUUGAAAUUUUGGGAUGUUACAAGAUCAUAACAAGAAAGGCCACCUGAGAUGGGCUCAGCAACAAGAAGAAGAGCAAGAUGGGGAAGAUGUACUUUUAGAAGAUUAUGAUGACCUAGACAUUCUGCAGGUAUGCUUCUUGUUACUUGUCAAUGUUGAUACAUCCUGUACUC